rnacentral:lncRNA from 1 species
CCUUCCUGGUGCGGUGGCAGAGGCGGCAUCGCAGUUGCAUUCCUUCUCCCUCCACCAUGCACAGCCUUCGGUAUCCCAGGGCCUGCAGGAUCCUGACACCCGUUAGCCAGUCCAGUGUCUCCCAUCUGACACUUGCAAACACACUAACAGAAAUACACAUAACUGGCAGAUGAUAUACGUGUAUUGAGAGAAGGUAAGAAGCCACAGACAGCACCAGCUGCCGGGAAGGCGGCAGAGCCGUCUAAAGCGGGCUCGAGCUCGUCGGCCACGGCCACGGCCGCUGCCGCCUUCUCUUCUCCCCCAGGAAGCAGCGCGGCGGCAGCGGCUCCUCCGCGCUGGCGGGAGCCUAGGGGAGUGGAGUCUGGGGAAGCCCCACCACUCGCGGAUGGGACCGGGCCUAGGAUCUGGAGCUGCUGCUGCUGCAGCGGCCCGAGUACAGCGACGCUUUACGUCCGGUCCACCACCACCCCCAUACACACCCCCUCCCUCCCUCCACCGCCGCCACCCCCCUCCCCGCCCGCUCCGCUCUCCGUCUCUCGAUUGGAGCCGAGACAAAAGCAACGGGAAGCGGUGGGCCGGGACGCUACCGGCGGACCCUGGGCGCGACCGGACCGGCCCCGGGGCAUUCCCCCGCCUUGCGGGGGCCCCGAAUCUGCCGCCCCCGCCGCGCGCCCCGCUGCCAGACUUCCGAAAAUUUACCAAAAACUCACCGCAUGAAUUUUCUUGUCCCGCGGAUCCAAGAUGGCGACGUAUCCACCGCGGAGGCUGCUGGGAGCAAGACCUUUACCCUCUGACCGCCGCCGUGACCCCCGUCGCUCCGGCUUCCCUCCAGGCGGCAGCGGAAGGUGGGAGCGACGACUGCAAAACGGCAGCGAUGGGCUCCCGCAACCUCCGGAGCUUGUGCGCGUACUUCAGGGACCGGCACCACGUCACCGUCACCUCCUGAGUAGUGAGUUCCCCUCUGAUGAAACCACUGGUGUGUUUACUCACCAUCCCCACCAUUUUUUUUUCCCCAACCUGAUGGAAGGAAGUACAUAAUGGAGAGCAAGUUUUUAAAGCACGGUCGUGUCGUGUGAACUUGCUCUAGCCAAAUUAGGUUUAUAGCACUUUUUUUGGCUCUCAUUACCUCCAGUCCCCACAUAAACAAGAGUGACCAGCUGGGUCAUCCGCAAGACCGUUUGAAAUUAUUGUGGCUUGGGUGGAAACUUAAAGGAGUGAAGUAUCUGCUUUCCAGAAAAAUCGUUGUCAUUCAAAGUGAAAUUAAACUUGUUUUCUUUGCAAUAAUUCGCCUUUAUUUCCUUGUAUAUCUGUAAACUCUUCACUUUUUUGUAAUUACUAGACAAUUCGGACUUAAAAAGAGCCUCAGCAUGUGUAUUUUGGAAUUGUGUAGCUUCAUAAUGUGAAAAUUAUUCUUUUCUAUUUGAGUAAAGUACAGUUAAUUUGAAGUAAAUAAAAUUUCUAUUUCCAUUGGUUGUUUCUUUUAAAAAGUCACCUUUUACUUACAAAAGAAUCACUGUAAUCCAGUUUACAUUUAUCAUUGAAGGUCAAAAGCAAGAAAUAGGAAGAAACACAAGCAUACUAUAAAAUAAAAGGUAACUGUCAUGUUUUUGAAGGUAAGGUGUUUUGACAUAUCAGCAGACAUUGUGUGAAUUUAUUUCAACUCCUAGUGGUACUGGUGUAGGUAGAAAAUGUUUUGCUUGGUUAUUCAUUUCAUCAAACACUCUACUUCACUGUUUUUUUUUCACUUCAGGAAAAUUCGAGGAGGAACAACACAUACUAGUGUCUUUCCUUUCUUUCUCCCCGUCUUCUGCAAAUAGUCCCUUCCUCUUCCUGCUUUCUCCUCCUUCUCAUGUUAACAUCUUCAACCAUAAGAUGGUGUGUUAAAAGAUUGAAUAUACCUCUAUGGAAUGACUUCCAGAGGGUGUAAGUCUGAUAUGAGAGUUUUAUUACCUUGAGUAUUUUACUGGAAGAGAUAGAACAACAAACAUUUUCAUAAUAAAUGUGUGGGUUAGGAGUGUUAGGAGAAAAUACACUGAUACUAUUACUUUCAAUAUUUGAUACUACUUACUUUGACUCUCACUGAACACCUAUUUGUUUAGGAUGAAUUCACUUUAAGCCGGGUUGAAGAACAAGCCUUUAAUUGUCCUAUUAUUUGUGCCAAAUCUAUUAUAAAUUUGUUAAAAAAUUUUUAAUACCUACCUUAGAGGGUACUCUAGGUAUUUAAUGAGCUAGCAUUUGUUAAAGGCUUGUAUAGUAAGAAUUCUUAUAGUAAGAGUUCUUACCAAUAGAUGGUAUAUUUUUUAAAUUGUCCUGUUGCAUCAAAAAGUUCAUCUUUAUUGGUAAUGUUGAUUAAGUUUGCCCAUUUGGUAGUUUGGUUUCUUUUAACUAUCUUACUAGAUUUUCUUACUUUUACCUGAAAAGUAGUCCUUACUAAUAGGCACAUGUUUUGUAUAUUUCCAAAAUAUGUAUUAUGUUAAAUUCUCUGUACACUUUAUUUAAAAAUUACAGACGUUGAGGGAAAAAAAAUACCCUAUUAAGGGAAGAAUGAGUUUGUGUAUAACUUGUAGAAGAAGGAGGCCACCCAUUUUUAGAAAAAUAUGGAUGGUAUUGAAAAUUUUGCCAUGGCAAGGGAUAAAAAGGACAGGCUUCUCUAAUGUGUCUGAAACAACAUUUGAAUCCCCUUUGUUCAUUCCCUAAAUCUGCUGCUCCUUUAGAAUUCCUGAUUUUCAUAAAUAGUACCACCAUUCACUUAUUUGCUCAGGCAUAAAACUUGGAAUUUUCUGAUUCUUCACACUCAUACAACUCAUCAGACAGUACCAUCAGUUCUUCCUGACAAAUACAUUCUGAAUUUAGCUACUUAUCACUUCCACUGGUACAACCCUUGGGAGCCACCAUCAUCUGUUGCUGGACCACAGCAAUAACCACACUAGUUGCUAUCACUUUCUAUCUGUACCCUCAUGAAUAUUUUCCCAUUUAAACCAUUCUCUAUAUACCAACCAAAGCAAUCACUUAAAAAAUGUUAUUAGGUUAUGUCACUCCCUUGUUUAAAACCCUCCAAUAGCUUCCUUAUGCACACAGAAUGAAAUCGGAAUUCCUUACCAUAGCCUUCAAGACUGCAUAAUCUGGCUCCUGCCCACUUCUCCAUCUUCCCAGGAAGCAGCACAGGAAGUUGUUCUCACCCUUCUUACUGCCUCCUUUCUGUCGUGGGCUGUGCUUUUUCUAGUCUGUAGCAGAGUCUGUUAGUUGUCCCCAAAAAUUCCUCCAUUUUUUUCAUAGUAAUAGACAUGGAUACAUGGCUACCCAGAACAAAGACUAUAUUUUGCAGCCUUCCUUGUAGCCAUGUAAUAGUGCUGGCUGAUGGGAUGUAAGCAGUAUAUCAUGUGGCACACUUGUAAAACCAUCCUUAAAAGAUAGUUGGUGCACACCUUCAAUGCGGCUUUUCCUUUAUCCUGUACCGUGGAAUAUAGAUGUGAUGGCUUAGAACUGUAGCUGCCAAUUUGUGCCUCAUGCAAGUUCUCUCAUUCUAGGGAUGGCAAAACUAAACUGGUGGAAACCAGGGUCUGUGAGAACUUUAUGGAUCAGAGCACCAUGCUAGCCCUGCAGUCGUAAAUGUCUAUAUUAUUAAAGCCACUAUUUUGGAGUCUCUUGUUCUCAACUGAAUUUAAUCUUACCUGAUACUCUGUCUCAGGGCCUUUGCACUUGCUUUUUAUUUUUUAUUUAUUUAUUUUUUUUCUGCCUGGGAUGUGGUCUUCUGUCUUGGAUAUGGCUGACUCAUUCUCUUCCUUCAGGUUAACCCAAAUAUCUCUGACAGGCCUUCCCUGGCCACCGUAUCUAAAAUAGCUCACGUUCCCAUUUAUUCUCUGUCAAUCACGUGCCCCUCUAUUUUCUUAAUAGCAUUUAUAAUUUAUCAUUAUCUUGUUUAUUCACUGUUUAUUUUCUACCUCCCUUCACCCUACAAAAAUAUAAACUACACCUGUUUUUUUCCACUACUUUAUCCUUCACACAUGGUAGGCAUUAGAUAAAUGCUGUUAAAUUAGUGAGUGAAUGAAUCAACAAAAUUCUUAUCCAAGAUUAGCUAGACUUUUUAAAUAAUAAAUGAGUAAAUGUCAACAGAUAUCCUUAACACAAAAUUUGUAAAAUCCAAUCUAGGAAACAGGAAAAACAGUACUAAACUAAUAGGAUAUUCCUGACCUCCAACUUAAUAAAGAAGAUGUCUACCUUUUUCUGGGAAAUCUGUAAGGCUAGUACAAGUUAAAAAAAAAAAGACUGCACUGCAGUAUAUCCAGGGCUAAAAUUCACACUAAAAGGGGUCUGAAUUAUAAUUUACUAGACCUCAGUUUCUUCAUCUUAAAUAUGUGUAAGCUUUGAAUGGUAAUACUAUAACAGUUAAAAGUUUAAUAGUAAGCCCAACUUAUGAGUGACAAAACAUGUUAAACAUUAAUUUAGUCUUCAGGCACUAUUUUAACAAGUGGUUAUUUCUUGAUAAUACUGGCAAGGAUUCAGAGAAACAGGGCUGCUUAUAUUGCUGAGAGUGUAUGUUGGCAGCACUUUUCUAGAGUGCAGUUUGGCAAUAUGUAUCAAAAGCCUUGAGCCAUGUGCAUUUGACCCAGCGAUUCUUUUAGAAAUGUGUCAUAAGCAGGCUGGGUGCAGUGGCUCAUGCCUGUAAUCCCAGCACUUUGGGAGGCCAAGGCGGGUGGAUCACCUGAGGCCAGGAGUUUGAGACCAGCCUGGCCAACAUGGUGAAACCCCGUCUCUACUAAAUACAAACAAAUUAGCUAGGUGUGGUGGUGCACGCCUGUAGUCCCAGCUACUUGGAGGCUGAGGCAGGAGAAUCGCUUGAACCCGGAAGGCGGAGGUUGCGGUGAGCUGAGAUCAUGCCACUGCACUCCAGCUUGGGUGACAGAGCAAGACUCUGUCCAAAAGAAAAGGCCAGGCACGGUGGCUCAGAGAGCCACCUGUAAUGCCAGCACUUUGGGAGUCUGAGGUGGGGUUGGAUCACCUGAGGGCACAAGUUGAAGACCAGCCUGGCCAACAUGGUGAGACCCCAUCUCUACUAAAAAUACAAAAAUUAGCUGGGCAUGCUGGCGGGUGCCUGUAGUUUCAGCUAUUGGGAAGGCUGAGAUGGGAGAAUCACUUGAGCCCAGGAGGCAGAGGUUGUAGUGAGCCGAGAUUGUGCCACUGCAUUCCAGCCUAGGUGACAGAGCGAGACUCCGUCUCAAAAAAAAAAAAAAAAAAGAGAAAUGUAUUAUAAGCAAAUAAGGGUGUGUUUAACAAGUUAAUUGCAAGAGUAUUCUUUACUGCAUCAUUUAUUAGGAGAUUGGUUAAGCAACAUCCAUACAGUGAACAGUAUUCAGCCAUUUGAAAUGAUGUGGAGGAAAUUUUAUUGACAUGAUACAUUGUUAAGAGCAAAAGAAAAAGUUUUAAAAUACAAAUGUUUAAUUUGUAAGUCUCACAAACAUCAUCUAACGAAAUAUACACGAGGUGUUAAGUCAGCCUUGCAAACGUAACUAUUUUUUCAUUAUUUUUAUAUCAGUUACUGUUAUUGGAGCAUUUUAUAUUGACUGAGGAUCUUUAUUAAAACUUCUUCAGCCUUCUGUGAAAUCUUGUUAUGAUGGCUAUAGUGACACUAUAUAAAACACAUAACCAGAAUAUGUUUAUGCUCAAAUAUUUCAAGCAAUAUUUGAUGCUUAAAAUACCAAAGUGACAAUGAAAAUGAAAGAAAUUUGGAUAGUUCCUUAGAGUUAUUUGUUUGUGUUUCAGAUAUGAACAUAAAGUAUGUUUUUAAUAUUACCAGUUUUGAGAAUAAUAGAAUAAAUGCCUUCUCACCUUAAUAAGAUGUUCUGUUCUGACUCAGUAUUCAUUUGCCAUUUAUUUUUCAAAUGUAGCUGAAAUCUCAGUCAUGUUCCAGGCACUAUGUUUUGUCUCUGAGAGAGGAAAAACCAAACUUUUUCCCUGUUCUCAAAUACUACUCAAUACAAUACUUCUGCAACAAGAUGGGGUGGGAUAGCGGUCCCCCCUCACCCCCGCCCACAUCAAACCAUCAAUUUUCUAGCAGACAUCAGCUGGGUGUCUCAAUUCUAUUCAGUUCUGACACUAUCUACCUGGAGGCAGCAUCAGAUCGAACAGAUUGAGGGCUCGGUUCUGCAAGACUGCCCCCACCACUUCCAGUACCAGCCACAAGUAGUAGGUUGUCACCGAUACUCCUGACCAAGCUGUAAAUCAGGAUUCCCAUGAUCCCUUCCUCAGGUUCAAUUAGUUCACUAGAGUGGCUCACAGAAGUCGGAGAAACACUUUACUAGCAUUUACCCAUUUAUUAUAAAGGAUAUUACAAAGCAUACAGGUGAACAGCUGGAUGGAAGAGGAAUCUGCACACCUUUUCUCCCAUACCUUGCCCUAUGUAUAGGUAGGGAGAAGAGGUGUGGCAAUUCCAUGCCUUCUCCAGGCAGGCCAGCUUCCAGGAACCUCCUAGUGUUCAGCUAUCAGGAAGCUCUCUGAACCCUGCCUGUCCUUUUGGGCUUUUAUGGAUACUUCAUUAUGUAGGCAUGAUUGAUUACAUUAUUGGUCACUGGUGAGCAAAUAACCUUUAACCCCCUCUCCCCUCCCUGGAGGUGAGGAGCCAGGUUAAAGUUCCAACUCCCUAAUCACAUGGUUGGCUUCCCUGGCAACCAGCUCCCAUCCUGAGGCUACCCAGGAGCCCAUCAAGAGUUACCUCAUUAGAACAAAAGAUUCUCCUAUCGUCCAGGAAAUUCCAAGGGGCUUAGGAGCUCUGUCAGGAACCAAGGGUCAAAGACUGAAUAGAAUAAGAUUCUCCUAGUGCCCUUUAUCUAGAAGUUUUAGGACCUCUGGGCUAGGAAACAGAGACGAAAACUAAAACGUGCAUACAGAAGAUAGAUCUAUAUAUAUAAUAUUAUAAAUCACAUCACCUUGUCAUUUAGUUCUCAAGAAAACUAUGUGAUGUCAGAAUAAUAGUAUAAUUUUUUCCAUUUUCUUGUAUGCUACAUGUAUGUAGCAGAUAUCAUUUAAAUUGGUGAACCACAUUUCCCCCCCUUUAAAUAUCCUUGUCCAUAUAUUGAAUCUCUCUAAUACUCAUCACCUUUGGAAUUGAUCAUGGCAGUAUUAAAGGCACUUCUAUUCUGAACUGAACAUUAAAGAUGCUAUUACCCCUCCAGUGCUUUUGUGGGUCACUAUCAUCUAUAAAAAAUAUCCUAAAAGGAGAAGCCAAAUAAAUGAGGUAAUCAGUGGAAAGAAUAUAAGAUCCUUGGAAUCUAAAAAAUGGCUGUAACCAAUCAGCAUAAUAAAACCUCUAACAAUAGAAAAAUAGUUAACCACUUAGUUUAGCAUCUGCUAAAUGGCAAGCACCAUAAUUACAUGAUUUCACUCAAUCUGUGUAACAUUUCUGUGUGAUAGGUGGUAUUUGCAUUUUACAGAUGAGGAAAUGGAGGCUUUAAGAGAGGUUGCUAGAUAUAUCUAGAAAACCCCAUUGUCUCAGCCCAAAAUCUCCUUAAGCUGAUAGGCAACUUGCGCAAAGUCUCAGGAUACAAGAUCAAUGUGCAAAAAUCACAAGCAUUCUUAUACACCAAUAACAGAGAGCCAAAUCAUGAGUGAACUCCCAUUCACAAUUGCUUCAAAGAGAAUAAAAUACCUAGGAAUCCAACUUACAAGGGAUGUGAAGGACCUCUUCAAGGAGAACUACAAACCACUGCUCAAUGAAAUAAAAGAGGAUACAAACAAAUGGAAGAACAUUCCAUGCUCAUACGUAGGAAGAAUCAAUAUCGUGAAAAUGGCCAUACUGCCCAAGGUAACUUAUAGAUUCAGUGCCAUCCCCAUCAAGCUACCAAUGACUUUCUUCACAGAAUUGGAAAAAACUACUUUAAAGUUCAUAUGGAACCAAAAAAAGAGCCCACAUCGCCAAGUCAAUCCUAAGCCAAAAGAACAAAGCUGGAGGCAUCAAGCUACCUGACUUCAAACUAUGCUACAAGGCUACAGUAACCAAAACAGCAUGGUACUGGUACCAAAACAGAGAUGUAGACCAAUGGAACAGAACAGAGCCCUCAGAAAUAAUGCUGCAUAUCUACAACCAUCUGAUCUUUGACAAACCUGACAAAAACAAGCAAUGGGGAAAGGAUUCCCUAUUUAAUAAAUGGUGCUGGGAAAACUGGCUAGCCAUAUGUUGAAAGCUGAAACUGGAUCACUUCCUUACACCUUAUACAAAAAUUAAUUCAAGAUAGAUUAAAGACUUAAACGUUAGACCUAAAACCAUAAAAACCCUAGAAGAAAACCGAGGCAAUACUAUUCAGGACAUAGGCAUGGGCAAGGACUUCAUGUCUAAAACACCAAAAGCAAUGGCAACAAAAGCCAAAAUUGACAAAUGGGAUCUAAUUAAAGAGCUUCUGCACAGCAAAAGAAACUACCAUCAGAGUGAAAAGGCAACCGACAGAAUAGGAGAAAAUCUACUGCAAUCUACUCAUCUGACAAAGGGCUACAAUGAACUACAAUGUAGAUCCAGAAUCUACAAUGAACUCAAACAAAUUUACAAGAAAAAAACAACCCCAUCAAAAAGUGGGCAAAGGAUAUGAACAGACACUUCUCAAAAGAAGACAUUUAUGCAGCCAAAAGACACGUGAAAAAAUGCUUAUCAUCACUGGCCAUCAGAGAA